CAGCUGGGCCGGACGGUCGCUGUUGCAAAACAGAGGAAAGUCCGAACUCCGCAGGGCAGUGUGCCGGAUAACGUCCGGGACGGCCGGUUCAAGCCGGUUGGACGGAAAGUGCCACAGAAAACAUACCGCCGGGGCCGCAAGGUUCCGGUAAGGGUGAAAAGGUGCGGUAAGAGCGCACCGCCGCCGCAGUAAUGCAGCGGGCAGGGCAAACCCCACACGGAGCAAGACCAAAUAGGGAGGAAGCUCCAGAAGAUCGGAGCGCGUGCCGGCUCGGUGCGCCACAACCUCCGGGUAGGUCGCUUGAGCCGCGCAGUAAUGCGUGGCCCAGAGGAAUGACCGUCCCGCCGCAAGGCGGACAGAAUUCGGCUUACAGGUCCGGCUGCCAA
rnacentral:RNase_P_RNA from 1 species